rnacentral:rRNA from 1 species
GACGAACGCUGGCGGCGUGCCUAAUACAUGCAAGUCGAACGAACCGCGACUAAGUGCUUGCACUAAGUCAAGGUGAGUGGCGAACGGGUGAGUAACACGUGGGUAACCUACCUCAUAGUGGGGGAUAACAGUCGGAAACGACUGCUAAUACCGCAUAGGACAUAGGAUCACAUGAUCCAGUGAGGAAAGGUGGCGCAAGCUAUCGCUAAGAGAUGGACCCGCGGUGCAUUAGCUAGUUGGUAGGGUAAAGGCCUACCAAGGCGAUGAUGCAUAGCCGACCUGAGAGGGUGAUCGGCCACAUUGGGACUGAGACACGGCCCAAACUCCUACGGGAGGCAGCAGUGGGAAUCUUCCGCAAAGGACGCAAGUCUGACGGAGCAACGCCGCGUGAGUGAAGAAGGUCUUCGGAUCGUAAAGCUCUGUUGUUAGAGAAGAACAGCGCAUAGAGUAACUGCUAUGCGUGUGACGGUAUCUAACCAGAAAGCCACGGCUAACUACGUG